ACCAGGAAACUCUACCGAUAAAUUAUUUACAUAAGUAAGUAAACAUCAAUACAGGAAGACACUCUUUAAAUAAAUAAUCAAAAUGCAUAAAUUCGACUCAACUUCGGCAACCCAUCCACUUCAGACUCUACCACUCAUAAAAAAAUACGGUCCUUCGUCUACACAAAAUUUCAUUUACGGUAAUUUAAUUUCACACAUCUGGUGGACAGCUUGCACAAAUAUUCACCAUGAGGCGCACCCACAUCUUCUCAACUGUCGCCAUCCUCCUGAUCUUCGCCGUCCCGCUGUCCUCCAUGGUCGUAACGGUAGAUGCCUCGUUGUGGGACACUGUCAAGGAGGCGGCCAAGAAAGUCAACCCUUACACGGCCUGGGGCGCCUGCAUCAUCGGAUUUAUUGCCAAUCUUGCAUAACUAAUAUUUAUACCGAUACGCAUAAAAUUAUGUAGUCUUAAUUCACAAACAUAGAAACUCCUUAACUCAUUGCAGUAAAGUCACGUUUCACACUUA